CACAGGUGCUGCAUGGCUGUCGUCAGCUCGUGUCGUGAGAUGUUCGGUUAAGUCCGCUAACGAGCGCAACCCUCGUCGUGUGUUAUACGUGUCACACGAUACUGCCGGUAUCAAGCCGGAGGAAGGUGGGGAUGAUGUCAAGUCAGCAUGGCCUUUAUAUCCUGGGCUACACACACGCUACAAUGGCAGAUACAAUAGGUUGCGAAACCGCGAGGUGGAGCCAAUCCUCAAAGUCUGUCUCAGUUCAGAUUGUAGGCUGCAACUCGCCUGCAUGAAGUUGGAGUUGCUAGUAAACGCAGGUCAGCUAUACUGCGUUGAAUACGUUCCCGGGGUUU
rnacentral:rRNA from 1 species